AGAAGCAAUAGGUGCUUUAUUAGUAGGUAAAGAUAAAGAUUUUUAGGAUACAUUUAUUGCUUCCGACCUAUCCAUGCAGAAACAGCAGGCAGUUCACAAAUGCUUAAUUUUCUGAUUCCAGAACAAAGCAUGUUGGCUCACAUAAAGUACAAUGAGAAAAGUAGUAGUAGCAACUAAGCAAUCCCCAAUUCACACUAGUCACUAGUUAUUGUUUGCUGCUUAUAUAUACAUACGCAAAGUAAGAGAGAGCUCUUAUGACGGUGAUAAAUAAAUCAAGAAGACUAGGUAGUUGUAUGAUGCUCCACUAGUUACAUGCAUCCCCUAGGGCGGAUUACUCUAUACAAAGCUCGUCACGGUGGAUUGUAGUCUAUUGUCCCCUGCUUUUUAAUUCGGCUGUAACCAUGUUGGCUUGUGAGGCAUCAAGAAUAGAGUGUGUACAUUAUGAAUCCUUUCUGCGGGAAUCCUUUUUGUGUACAUCAAGAAUCCUUGGUGCUUGGCAUCACAGGAAGAUAACAAUCUGUGUGCCUUUGUCUUUGCCAUGCUACAUGAAAGCGCCUUGGUUCUUUCGUGGUUUGCAGGGCCGGUUCUGUUGUGCAGGUAGGUCAUAUUUCCGCAGACCCCACUUUGAUGUUUUUAAAAGUGGGUAGUUGUUGUCUAAUGCACUUUGUCUGAUUUGCUGAGUGUCAAUUGGCCAAUAAAAUGAUUAUAAAACCCCAAAUCACCCUAACUUGACGAUCAAAAAUUUAAUCAUGUACCGCUCUACCAUCUCCAUAGUUCGUGAAAUAGAAUAUCCGUGUGCACUCCCUCAUAGCGUUGCGAGCCACAACACCGUGCAUUUGGCCCAUGGCGCUGUCACCAGCGUACUCCCUCAUAGGCAUGCACAUUCAAUUUUCCGUCAUGCAUGCCUCCUCUCUAGGGAAGCUCCAAAAAUACCAUAACCCAAUUCUCGCUA
rnacentral:lncRNA from 1 species